GAUGAAGAACGUAGCGAAAUGCGAUACGUAAUGUGAAUUGCAGAAUUCAGUGAAUCAUCGAAUCUUUGAACGCAUAUUGCGCUCUUUGGUAUUCCGAAGAGCAUGCUUGUUUGAGUAUCAGUAAACACCUCAACCUCUUCUUGAUUUUUCAAAAGGAGGGUGGACUUGAGCUAUCCCAACAACCUUUACCGGUCGGCGGGCGGCUUGAAAUGCAGGUGCAGCUGGAGUUUUAUCUGAGCUAAAAGCAUAUCUAUUUAGUCCUCGUCAAACAGGAUUAUUACUUUUGCUGCAGCUAACAUAAAGGAUAAUUGUCCUCUUUGCUGACUGAUGCAGGAUUUUACGACACUUUAUGUGUUGUUCAACUCGAUCUCAAAUCAAGUAAGACUACCCGCUGAACUUAAGCAUAUCAAUAAGCGGAGGA
rnacentral:misc_RNA from 1 species